rfam:Schistosoma curassoni strain Dakar, Senegal genome assembly, scaffold: SCTD_contig0009680
AUCCAGCCGACGAGUCUCGCAAUAGGACGAAACGUGCGUCAAAAUAGAU